UGAGCAAUCUGCCCUUCUCUUCGGAAUAAGCGUGGGAAACCGCGUCUAAUGCCGAAUACGACCUCCUUUCGCAUGAUCGGAGGUGGAAAGCUCCGGCGGAGAAGGAUGAGCUCGCGGCCUAUCAGCUUGUUGGUGAGGUAAUGGCUCACCAAGGCGACGACGGGUANCUGGUCUGAGAGGACGACCAGCCACACUGGAACUGAGAUAUGGUCCAGACUCCCGUAACGGGG
rnacentral:rRNA from 1 species